rnacentral:rRNA from 1 species
CGGUGAACCGGGUAGAUCGAUUUGUUAGUCGGGUGGAGGUGGAGAGGGAGGAGGAGAUGUCCUCUGGUCCUCCCACACCGCGAGUAGGUGCCGCAGUACCGGUACCUACCGACGGUGCUCGGGGAUGGAAACUGGAUAUUCCCGUGGGGGUGUGGGGUGGCUUUGGGAUCGGGGAGCGUAGAGAGAGGGAGCGCGGGGGAGGAAGACGCGGGCGGCUGCAGCGCCGCGGGACUGGCCAGGCGGAGACGGGGCGGCUGGAGGAGCGGCAGUAGGUGCCGGUGGCAGCAGAGGCCGCACGCCCUCGUGCAGGUCCUCCAGGCGGCGCCGGCCUAGGCAGGCGAGGCCCCUAGCGGAGUUCGGCCCUGCCAGGCACACGAGCGGUAGCUCGGGAAGAGGCGGCGCCUGCAGUGGUUGAGCAGCGGCAACGGUGACGAGGCCCGGCGGAGGCUGGAAGAUUGGAGCAGGUACUCUUGGCCCUGGGACUCUGGCGACGGCCAUGGGGACACUAGCUGAUGUAGCUGUUGCUUGGGAAGAACGGUCUCGUUGGUCUACGGCUUCGGGUCCACGGUCUGCGGUGGCAGCUGCUACUGAGGAUGAUGUGGCCUCCACGGAUGAUGAUGCACGUCGGGCGACUGCUGCUGGUCCUCAUCAAUCCUCCUAGGGUCCGUCCUCCGUACGCGGAGAAAGCUAGACAUAGGGUCAAACACGAUCGGUAGAAUACCGUUGAACAAAUUGAAUACAGACAUGAGUCUAUAACAACGAAGGCGACUGAGCAGAUACUAGCUCGUGAACAUAAGCUCGGGAGCUCCGGGGACCGAACAUAAUACUACGAACAUACUGAAUAAAUACAAAA